GCCAUUCCGCCAUUGUCUCCGACACGCGACACUUGUCAGUUGUCACACUAUGCCUUGAAACUGCAGUCUACUAGGCUCUAGGCUGUAGCAAUGGAAUAGUGAAAUUUUUUUGUUCUGUUAAUAUUUUUGUCGAAAUGUCGAGUUGAAACUUGAAACCUAUGAAUGUUGGCUGCUUCACUAGAAUGUAUGGGUCCUAGACUAGAUUGAUCUAUUUCAACAUGUGCAGGUUGUUUUCCUGAUUGACCUGAUCACAUCAGCUGUUUACAUUUUGUUUCUCUUCCGUUCACCACCAACAUAUUCAGCUGAAAGUUUGAUUAUCAUUCUGCGUUCAACUGGACUGAUGAUUUUGAGGAUACUUGAUUCUAUUAUAAUUGUUAAAAAUAGAAUUCUACUGUUGCGGCCCGGAGUUGCUGCAACGUGUGUACAGCUGGUGGUAACUGGUUGAUCCUUCUCGACGUUGCGCGUUCGUGAUCACCAGAAUAUGUAAAGGGCGAAGAAGGGAUGGAAAUUAUGGAUUGUUAGUUGA